AGUUUGAUCCUGGCUCAGAACGAACGCUGGCGGCAGGCCUAACACAUGCAAGUCGAGCGCUACCUUCGGGUGGAGCGGCGGACGGGUUAGUAACGCGUGGGAACAUACCCUUUUCUACGGAAUAGCCUCGGGAAACUGAGAGUAAUACCGUAUAAGCCCUUCGGGGGAAAGAUUUAUCGGGAAAGGAUUGGCCCGCGUAAGAUUAGAUAGUUGGUGGGGUAAUGGCCUACCAAGUCUACGAUCUUUAGCUGGUUUUAGAGGAUGAUCAGCAACACUGGGACUGAGACACGGCCCAGACUCCUACGGGAGGCAGCAGUGGGGAAUCUUGGACAAUGGGCGAAAGCCUGAUCCAGCAAUACCGCGUGUGUGAAGAAGGCCCUUGGGUUGUAAAGCACUUUAGUUGAGGAAGAAAAGCUUAGGAUUAAUAAUCCUGAGCCUUGACGUUACUCAAAGAAUAAGCACCGGCUAACUCUGUGCCAGCAGCCGCGGUAAGACAGAGGGUGCAAGCGUUAAUCGGAAUUACUGGGCGUAAAGCGCGCGUAGGCGGAUAUUUAAGUCAGAUGUGAAAUCCCUGGGCUCAACCUAGGAACUGCAUUUGAUACUGGAUAUCUAGAGUAUGGUAGAGGUGAGUGGAAUUUCAGGUGUAGCGGUGAAAUGCGUAGAGAUCUGAAGGAACAUCAGUGGCGAAGGCGACUCACUGGGCCAUUACUGACGCUGAGGUGCGAAAGCGUGGGUAGCAAACAGGAUUAGAUACCCUGGUAGUCCACGCCGUAAACGAUGAUAACUAGUUGUUGGGAGGCUUAGACCUCUUUGUGACGAAGCUAACGCGAUAAGUUAUCCGCCUGGGGAGUACGGUCGCAAGACUAAAACUCAAAGGAAUUGACGGGGGCCCGCACAAGCGGUGGAGCAUGUGGUUUAAUUCGAUGCAACGCGAAAAACCUUACCUACCCUUGACAUCCUAGGAAGUUCGUAGAGAUAUGAAUGUGCCUUCGGGAACCUAGUGACAGGUGCUGCAUGGCUGUCGUCAGCUCGUG
rnacentral:rRNA from 1 species